UCGCCUUUGGAUGGGCCCGCGUUGGAUUAGCUAGUUGGUGGGGUAAAAGCUCACCAAGGCGACGAUCCAUAGCUGGUCUUAGAGGAUGAUCAGCCACACUGGGACUGAGACACGGCCCAG
rnacentral:rRNA from 1 species